rnacentral:lncRNA from 1 species
GCCAUUUGGUACAGGAUUGAAAAUAUAAGUGGACGCCAGGCGCUACAGCAGGCUGCAGUCUGUUAGACUUGGUCUGGCCGUGUAGUGCGCAGGAAACGAGGGGAGUGAAUGAGUACGUGCAUGUGACUAUGAUGGCUACUUUCGGGCAGCCAUGUUCGAAACACUAGGAAAGACAUAACGGGGAAAUUAUACGAGAUGAAGGAACGGCUCUGGUCUAGGUGUUAUGUAUAAAUGACGCGGUCGACUUUUAAGCCUGGUGUCUUAGUUGUAUAUUCCAAGGAACACCCUUGUCAGCAGUCACACACAGUGAUUCCUCAUCAGGACCAAGACAAAUUUGACAGUCUAUGGGGAAAUUAAUGAUGAAACUUUCUUUAAAGGGAAUUAUUUUCAUGGGAUCAGGUUGAAGCUCAUGACCUGGAAAAACAGCAAUCUAGGAGUGCUGUGUCCUGUUAACCUGUUCGGAGAGACAUGAUUUGGUAUUACCACUUCUACAGCCUAUUUGUACACAAUGGAAUCAAAGAGCUGAAGUUGAUGCUGAAGUUGGUCCUGAUCAACCAUUCUCGAGUCAAAGAACUGACGUACAUGCUUUCUGCAAUAAAGUGUCGGACGGGCGUCGGUCCAGAGUAGUUCUCGACCAGCAACUCACAACACAACAUGCAGUCACAAUGAGCCUGCGUUGUAUCUUCGCGAAAUACUUGCUGAUGUCUGAAUGUCCGAAUGAAGCAUACGGACCGUAAAUUCCAAAAUGUGACCACCUUGUACAGAUGAAUGGAGUAUGUCUGCAUGUUCCAUGGUGUGUUGCGGCCUACCAACUCGUUCCCAAUUUAUGAAUCACGUAUUAGCCGUCUGCUUGGAGAUGCUUAGCCCGGCUCCAUGGUCCCACCUGCCGGAUGAUAGCUAGAUGCAAGGCAGUUCGUUCAGAGAUCGCCAGUCCAGCAUUUUGUUCCCGCGUCCCGGACCCAAGAAGUAUGGGAGCGUGAACCGAUGGGAGUUAAAAUCCCUCGACAGAAACAAACACAAUUUACAGUCCACGUAAGCGUAGCAGUAAGAUCUGAUGGCAAUAGCGAUUGCUACUGAAAUGAUCACUUUGGUGUGAAUUUGUCCAUCGACCCUUCGGGCUUCAUGUAUGUCGGGCUAAGGUAUUGAUGAAAGAAAGCCCAGUAAAAAAAAUGAAGACUUUAACAUGAUUUUAAUUUGUUUUCAUAUCUAACACUGUGAAGUGUACAGAUUUCAAAGUAUUUGAUUCAUCGAUUCUGUUACAUUUCAACUUGUUUUCUGAAUUUCUAUUUGAAACACUGCAGCGAUUUAUCAAAUUGUAGGUAAAACGUAAGAUUUGUCAUGAUUAGUGUCUUUUGAAAAUCCUAGUAUAGUUUGAAGUCGAUAGAAAUGGAUAGUUUGACGAACUCAGAACAGGAUUUUCCCACUUAACUUCAAAAAAUGUAAACUCUACAAUGAAACUUCGCUCGCGGGAAAAUGGGACUAGUUUUUAACUACCCUCAUAUGUCAGAUGGAUAAUCAGACACUUACAAUUACUUUAGUGACGCUUAAGUUCAGGGCAUCGGCCGGUCACCUGGGAAGGCUAGUAUCGGGAAAAGACACUCGUCUGCAGACGUCUUCUCUCGGGUUAUUACCACUUUAGCGGUGGAUCAAUAAAGCCCCUGGAUCACUUCCCUCGGUAGCUCCUAUACUGACGGUGACAUAGUUUGACUUUCGACAUGACUUGAUGGUCGUAUUGAUAUGACCAUGUGCUUUAGUGAAUGAUGUCUUCGUGUGUUGUCACUCUACUUGCUUUUAUUCUGUCUCAACUGCAAGUGUACUUAAGGAUGGGACGUCCAAAAGUCGAGGAUUUCUUUUUGAUCUUCAUAGACUGCUUGAGUUGUGGCUAAAUAUGGGGCUUUUUAAAUGUUUCUGCAGGAGGGGAAGUGAAAUACUAAAAACGUCUGUGUCACAUUUCAAAAAAGGCCAAAAAGCCUUUCAGUUUGUGUGUGUGUGUGUGGGGGGGGCACAUGGCCCCGUUUGCCAAUCUAAUAGUGUACGUAUCAGCAACAAUGUACAAAUAAAUUUACACGUCCCUGAGGCACUUUUAAUACAAAAAUGUACACAUAGGCCUAUACUUGGAUGGGGAAGAUGACCUGUUUGUAGUGUCUAUACAAGCAGUGCGGAACAGAAUUACGAAAACAUUAUUUUUAAUGUAACCCAUUUUUUACAAACACAGUUAGUAAAAUUAUUGUGUGCCCCACUCUCUACUUAAUGAUGAAAGUGCUAUUGUCUUGAUGGGCGAAACUCCAUUACGUAAAUCCAACGUAUCGUCAUCGGAUGUUGAUAAAUUAACACGACCACCGUAAUUUUGAUUUGUCAAGUCGUGAGAAUAAAAAUCAAAUGCCGAGUCUAUAGUUAUGUUAACAUACAUUAUGCAAAAAUGUUGCCUGUUCCAU